ACUUAGCCUUGUCCCUACCUCUUUACUCCUCUGUAGGCAGUAAUUCUUUUUUCUUUUCUUUCUUUUUUUUUUCUUUUGGUGUAACAGUAUCGCAUGAGCCAAGACUGUCAUGAAACUAUUUGGAUACUGUACUCUGGUUCCUUCAUCUCCUCCAUCUGCAUCAGCCUAAAUUGUCCUAGUUUUAGGUUUUCUAGUUCUGUUGUGCCCUUUAUUCAAUGCAAGCCAUCAACAAGUUCCUUAAACAUAAAACUCUGUGACACUCUAAACUGCAAGACAAUGUGACAAUGAGUAUGCCAGUCUGAAAAGAACAAAGGAGCAGGGUUCAGAAGAACUGGCCUUUACCAGCUCUGUCAUUUUCCAGUGGUGUGGCCUUGCAGAGGUCACUUCAGUUUUCCAGGCUUUGGCCAAAGAAAGGUGGGGGCAGGUGGUACCUUCCCAGCUCAAGUCUUCUGGAAUAGAGCGUACGCCCAUGAAGCCCUGCACCUGUUGGAGCUUCAUAGCUGUAAUCAAGGCUGUCUUUUGUUACAGGAGCCUCUGCCAUGAACCCGGGGAUAAGUGAGGAAAGAAAUUUUUCCUCCUUCACAGUAUCAAGUGCCAGGCCAGGGCACUUUGUCCAGGCCUCACUGUGAAGAAAGAGUAAUGUUCAAGGAUGGCAGCAGGAAGGACCCUAAUGAAGAGGUUUAUCUGAUUGGUUUACUGGAGUCCUAUGUGGGAUGAAUAGCUUCAGCCUUUGCGCUUGCACCUCUUUGCUGUCCACUCCAAUCAAGAACGGGGGCCCUCGCAACUCUCUCAGUUCUGAAACAAAUUAAAUCUCAGUGACAGACU
rnacentral:lncRNA from 1 species